AGUGUGAUACUAUCCUUGACAUGGAAAAAGAUGAGUUGGCUCCUGAGAUAGAAGAGGAAGAAGAAGGCGAGAUAGAGUAUGUUGAAGGUGAUGAUAUCGAGAUGGGUGACAUGGAUGAUAUGGAAGAUUUUGAAGGCUUUGGUGAUGAAGAUGGUGGAAGAAGACGAGGACAUGGGUAGCAGGCAAAGGACGCGAAUGUGAUUCUCCAGGCACGGCUUCAGUAACAUGCUUGGUGUCGAUGAUGUUGUAAUUUAGAUAAUUUUGCCUGUCUUUCUCGUGAUGACCGCAACUCUCUUCUAUGUGAUGGUAGUUUAGAUG